rnacentral:hammerhead_ribozyme from 1 species
AUCCAGCUGACGAGCCCCGAAUAGGACGAAACGCGCUUUCUGUAU